GCAUAUCAAUAAGCGGAGGAAAAGAAACCAACAGGGAUUGCCUCAGUAACGGCGAGUGAAGCGGCAAGAGCUCAAAUUUGAAAGCUGGCCCCCUCGGGGUCCGCAUUGUAAUUUGCAGAGGAUGCUUCGGGAGUGGCCCCCAUCUAAGUGCCCUGGAACGGGCCGUCAUAGAGGGUGAGAAUCCCGUCUGGGAUGGGGUGCCCACGCCCGUGUGAAGCUCCUUCGACGAGUCGAGUUGUUUGGGAAUGCAGCUCUAAAUGGGUGGUAAAUUUCAUCUAAAGCUAAAUACUGGCCGGAGACCGAUAGCGCACAAGUAGAGUGAUCGAAAGAUGAAAAGCACUUUGAAAAGAGAGUUAAACAGCACGUGAAAUUGUUGAAAGGGAAGCGCUUGCGACCAGACUCGCCCACGGGGUUCAGCCGGCAUUCGUGCCGGUGUACUUCCCCGCGGGCGGGCCAGCGUCGGUUUGGGCGGCCGGUCAAAGGCCCUCGGAAUGUAACGCCCCCCGGGGCGUCUUAUAGCCGAGGGUGCCAUGCGGCCAGCCCGGACCGAGGAACGCGCUUCGGCUCGGACGCUGGCAUAAUGGUCGUAAGCGACCCGUCUUGAAACACGGACCAAGGAGUCUAACAUCUACGCGAGUGUUCGGGUGUCAAACCCGUGCGCGCAGUGAAAGCGAACGGAGGUGGGAACCCCUCGGGGCGCACCAUCGACCGAUCCUGAUGUCUUCGGAUGGAUUUGAGUAAGAGCGUAGCUGUUGGGACCCGAAAGAUGGUGAACUAUGCCUGAAUAGGGCGAAGCCAGAGGAAACUCUGGUGGAGGCUCGCAGCGGUUCUGACGUGCAAAUCGAUCGUCAAAUUUGGGUAUAGGGGCGAAAGACUAAUCGAACCAUCUAGUAGCUGGUUCCUGCCGAA
rnacentral:rRNA from 1 species